GUAGAGAAUACCAAGGCGCUUGAGAGAACUCGGGUGAAGGAACUAGGCAAAAUGGUGCCGUAACUUCGGGAGAAGGCACGCUGAUAUGUAGGUGAAGCGACUAGCUCGUGGAGCUGAAAUCAGUCGAAGAUACCAGCUGGCUGCAACUGUUUAUUAAAAACACAGCACUGUGCAAACACGAAAGUGGACGUAUACGGUGUGACGCCUGCCCGGUGCCGGAAGGUUAAUUGAUGGGGUUAGCGGUAACGCGAAGCUCUUGAUCGAAGCCCCGGUAAACGGCGGCCGUAACUAUAACGGUCCUAAGGUAGCGAAAUUCCUUGUCGGGUAAGUUCCGACCUGCACGAAUGGCGUAAUGAUGGCCAGGCUGUCUCCACCCGAGACUCAGUGAAAUUGAACUCGCUGUGAAGAUGCAGUGUACCCGCGGCAAGACGGAAAGACCCCGUGAACCUUUACUAUAGCUUGACACUGAACAUUGAGCCUUGAUGUGUAGGAUAGGUGGGAGGCUUUGAAGUGUGGACGCCAGUCUGCAUGGAGCCGACCUUGAAAUACCACCCUUUAAUGUUUGAUGUUCUAACGUGGGCCCCUAAUCGGGGUUGCGGACAGUGUCUGGUGGGUAGUUUGACUGGGGCGGUCUCCUCCUAAAGAGUAACGGAGGAGCACGAAGGUUGGCUAAUCCUGGUCGGACAUCAGGAGGUUAGUGCAAUGGCAUAAGCCAGCUUGACUGCGAGCGUGACGGCGCGAGCAGGUGCGAAAGCAGGUCAUAGUGAUCCGGUGGUUCUGAAUGGAAGGGCCAUCGCUCAACGGAUAAAAGGUACUCCGGGGAUAACAGGCUGAUACCGCCCAAGAGUUCAUAUCGACGGCGGUGUUUGGCACCUCGAUGUCGGCUCAUCACAUCCUGGGGCUGAAGUAGGUCCCAAGGGUAUGGCUGUUCGCCAUUUAAAGUGGUACGCGAGCUGGGUUUAGAACGUCGUGAGACAGUUCGGUCCCUAUCUGCCGUGGGCGCUGGAGAACUGAGGGGGGCUGCUCCUAGUACGAGAGGACCGGAGUGGACGCAUCACUGGUGUUCGGGUUGUCAUGCCAAUGGCACUGCCCGGUAGCUAAAUGCGGAAGAGAUAAGUGCUGAAAGCAUCUAAGCACGAAACUUGCCCCGAGAUGAGUUCUCCCUGAGACUUAGAGUCUCCUGAAGGAACGUUGAAGACGACGACGUUGAUAGGCCGGGUGUGUAAGCGCAGCGAUGCGUUGAGCUAACCGGUACUAAUGAACCGUGAGGCUUAACCUU
rnacentral:rRNA from 1 species